GAUGAACGCUGGCGGCGUGCCUAAUACAUGCAAGUCGAGCGAACGGACGAGAAGCUUGCUUCUCUGAUGUUAGCGGCGGACGGGUGAGUAACACGUGGAUAACCUACCUAUAAGACUGGGAUAACUUCGGGAAACCGGAGCUAAUACCGGAUAAUAUUUUGAACCGCAUGGUUCAAAAGUGAAAGACGGUCUUGCUGUCACUUAUAGAUGGAUCCGCGCUGCAUUAGCUAGUUGGUAAGGUAACGGCUUACCAAGGCAACGAUGCGUAGCCGACCUGAGAGGGUGAUCGGCCACACUGGAACUGAGACACGGUCCAGACUCCUACGGGAGGCAGCAGUAGGGAAUCUUCCGCAAUGGGCGAAAGCCUGACGGAGCCACGCCGCGUGAGUGAUGAAGGUCUUCGGAUCGUAAAACUCUGUUAUUAGGGAAGAACAUAUGUGUAAGUAACUGUGCACAUCUUGACGGUACCUAAUCAGAAAGCCACGGCUAACUACGUG
rnacentral:rRNA from 1 species